rnacentral:rRNA from 1 species
GCAUGCCCAGAAAGCAUGUUUAUCCUCAAUUGAGGAUAGUGGAUUGUGUGAAAGCACAUUCGUAUGAUAUGAUUGAGAGUUGGCACUCAAUGUAUCUCUAAAAAAGCCAAUGGCUUAUUUACAACUUUCAGCAAUGGAUCUCUUGGUUCUCGCAUCGAUGAAGAACGCAGUGAAAUGCGAUAACUGGUGUGAAUUGCAUCUAUGUAACUCUAAUUUACGAAUAACACCAAGUGAAUCAUCGAGUCUUUGAACGCAAUUGCGCCCUCUCGGUCGCUUCCAAUUGGGGGUUGACUCAUAGGGGGUACAUCUGUUUGAGGGUCAUUUGUACCUUCUCAAAGGAUUUUUUAUUAUUAUUAUUAAAGAACCUUUGGAUUUGGGUCUUGCUGUGAUCAUCUCUCAGCUGACCUUGAAAGCAUUAGCAAGCUUUUUCUGAGUCUUUUCUAGAUGAGGCGUUCUAAACAGUUGACGUCUUCACAAUAAAAAGAACAGAGUGCUUAAGCCUGCUUCUAAUCAUACGGCCAUUAUUUUUCAAUGACCUCAAAUCAGAUGAGACUACCCGCUGAACUUAAGCAUAUCAUAAGCG